AUCAAUCUCACAGUGUCCUCUCCUGUGAAAUAUAAUUGCAUCCUACCAGCAGGAUCCUCCCUCCUCAUUGAUUACCUCCUCCCUUUAUUUCUUACUGAUUUAUUUCUCCCAUUCUCAGCUUUAAUUAAUGCUGAUUUUUGUUCUUUUUUUCAGACAUUCAGAAACUCCAAAACAAGUGAUGAGAGACAGCUGCAUGCACCCAUAGUCUUAUGGAGAGGCAAACAGAUGUCUGGGAGACCUUGGACUGUGACCAUUCGCACUCCCCAUCCUUCCUCCUUCCAAACAGUAACCGUUCCAGCAGCCCAAGAGAUAAAAAGGCAUUAAAGGAGAGCACUUGCCCAGGGUGAGAGCAGCAUGCUGAAUUCCCAUCUUUGCCCGAGAAGAUCCUAACCUGCAUCUUCCCGAAGUGUGUACUGGCAACCAACCUGCCACCUGAGCUACAUGAAGACACCCAGGGUCUCUCUUUCUGAAGCUGCUUCACUCUACAUAAAGUACUUCAAAAUUUUGCCGUUGGAGGGGCUCACCAAAGAGCCCAAUCGUGGGAGCAGAAAAGGCAGAGGAGAUGAACCCCUUGCGCCAGGAGCUGCAAGCCCUUGGGGCGCAUGCGGUUGGUGCACCCAAAGCUCUGGUUUCUUUGUAAAACUGUCAUGGGCAUCUCAUAAACAAUGAUUCACAGCACCCAGCUAAAAUACUGGAUAGAAAUUAAAUACAUGGUUCUUCCUGUAAUGAAAACUUCAUCCGAAAAGACCAAAGCAAGGGAAG
rnacentral:lncRNA from 1 species